AACGAACGCUGGCGGCAUGCCUAACACAUGCAAGUCGAACGAGACCUCCGGGUCUAGUGGCGCACGGGUGCGUAACGCGUGGGAACCUGCCCUUAGGUUCGGAAUAACUCUCCGAAAGGGGUGCUAAUACCGGAUAAUGUCUUCGGACCAAAGAUUUAUCGCCUUUGGAUGGACCCUCGUUGGAUUAGCUGGUUGGUAGGGUAAAAGCCUACUAAGGGGAGGAUCCAUAGCUGGUAUGUGAGGAAGGUCAGCCACACUGGGACUGGGACACGGCCCAGACUCUUCCGGGAGGGAGGAGUGGGGGAUAUUGGAAAAUGGGGGAAGGCCUGAUCCAGCAAUGACGGGUGAGUGAUGAAGGCCGUAGAGUUGUAAAGCGCUUUUACCCGGGAUGAUAAUGACGGUACCGGGAGAAUAAGCCCCGGCUAACUCCGUG
rnacentral:rRNA from 1 species